rnacentral:lncRNA from 1 species
UCGUCUCCUCCGCCUGAGCGCCUCCCAGUCCCCGGACGGCCGGACCCCGCCUGUGACACCGUCAGGCCGUCAGUCCGUCACUCCCGUGGCCGUGAGCCGUGAGCCCGUGACCUCCUCCGCUCCUCGCCCAACCCCGGCCCCGGCUCCUGUGAGGCGUGACUCGUGAGGCCGUGACGGCAGACGGCGUGACCUCCUCGGCCCUCGCCUCCCUCCCCGGCCCCGGCUCCCGUUGUCCCGUGACCCCGGCGGGCUCGGCCAUCCCCUCAGCCCUGAGCCCUCACGUCCAUGUCACGGUUUCAGUUGUCACUGAGAGACUGAGUCUGUCAGUCUGUGACAGUGACUCAGUGGGUAGUGGGCCUAGUGGCACUGUAGCACAACAUAUGGUGUGAUCCUUCUAACCCUCUUUUUGUUGUUUGAUUAUAUUUUCAACAUCCAGUGUCUAAUUUUCCUAAUUUUGUUGCAAUUUCUAUAAUUUUGUUACAAAUUUUCUCUUCUAUUUUUUUCUCUUUUAUAUUUUAAUUUGUUUGUAGUAAUUAUCUUAAUUGCUUUGUUUGGUAAUAUAAUUUUUAUAUUCAAAUGUCUAAUAGAAAAUAUGAAUGUGGAUAUGAAAAACUUUAAAAAAAAGAAAAAGGCCUCAUUUAGUGAGUUCGCCCUAGGCAUCUCAAAAAGCUAGACGGAUUAUUUUUAAAUAAAUUUUUAAAGUAUUUUAUACUUAUUAAAAAUUUA